CAGGACACAGCCCCCAUCAUAUAUGGAUACCACAUCACCAAAUCUCAUGUCUCCUUAAAGUUAGGAAAAAUGGGAAGUAUGUCAUAUGGCUCACCCUGCAU